ACAGAGGUCUCAAGCGUUGUUCGGAUUCAUUGGGCGUAAAGGGUGCUUCUUUUUCUCUCUCAGUCGGGUGUGAAAUUUCGGAGCUUAACUCCGAAACUGCAUUCGAUACUGGCGUGCUCGAGGACUGGAGAGGAGACUGGAAUUCAUGGUGUAGCAGUGAAAUGCGUAGAGAUCAUGAGGAAGACCAGUGGCGAAGGCGGGUCUCUGGACAGUUCCUGACACUGAGGCACGAAGGCCAGGGGAGCAAACGGGA
rnacentral:rRNA from 1 species